GUUGGGUAGGGGAGCGUUCUGUAAGCCUGUGAAGGUGGCCUGUGAGGGUUGCUGGAGGUAUCAGAAGUGCGAAUGCUGACAUAAGUAACGAUAAAGCGGGUGAAAAGCCCGCUCGCCGGAAGACCAAGGGUUCCUGUCCAACGUUAAUCGGGGCAGGGUGAGUCGACCCCUAAGGCGAGGCCGAAAGGCGUAGUCGAUGGGAAACGGGUUAAUAUUCCCGUACUUGGUGUUACUGCGAAGGGGGGACGGAGAAGGCUAUGUUGGCCGGGCGACGGUUGUCCCGGUUUAAGCGUGUAGGUGUGUGUUCCAGGUAAAUCCGGUUCACUUUAACACUGAGGCGUGACGACGAGGCACUACGGUGCUGAAGCAACAAAUGCCCUGCUUCCAGGAAAAGCCUCUAAGCAUCAGGUAACAUCAAAUCGUACCCCAAACCGACACAGGUGGUCAGGUAGAGAAUACCAAGGCGCUUGAGAGAACUCGGGUGAAGGAACUAGGCAAAAUGGUGCCGUAACUUCGGGAGAAGGCACGCUGAUAUGUAGGUGAAGCGGUUUACCCGUGGAGCUGAAAUCAGUCGAAGAUACCAGCUGGCUGCAACUGUUUAUUAAAAACACAGCACUGUGCAAACACGAAAGUGGACGUAUACGGUGUGACGCCUGCCCGGUGCCGGAAGGUUAAUUGAUGGGGUCAGCGCAAGCGAAGCUCCUGAUCGAAGCCCCGGUAAACGGCGGCCGUAACUAUAACGGUCCUAAGGUAGCGAAAUUCCUUGUCGGGUAAGUUCCGACCUGCACGAAUGGCGUAAUGAUGGCCAGGCUGUCUCCACCCGAGACUCAGUGAAAUUGAACUCGCUGUGAAGAUGCAGUGUACCCGCGGCAAGACGGAAAGACCCCGUGAACCUUUACUAUAGCUUGACACUGAACAUUGAGCCUUGAUGUGUAGGAUAGGUGGGAGGCUUUGAAGCGUGGACGCCAGUCUGCGUGGAGCCAACCUUGAAAUACCACCCUUUAAUGUUUGAUGUUCUAACGUGGACCCGUAAUCCGGGUUGCGGACAGUGUCUGGUGGGUAGUUUGACUGGGGCGGUCUCCUCCUAAAGAGUAACGGAGGAGCACGAAGGUUGGCUAAUCCUGGUCGGACAUCAGGAGGUUAGUGCAAUGGCAUAAGCCAGCUUGACUGCGAGCGUGACGGCGCGAGCAGGUGCGAAAGCAGGUCAUAGUGAUCCGGUGGUUCUGAAUGGAAGGGCCAUCGCUCAACGGAUAAAAGGUACUCCGGGGAUAACAGGCUGAUACCGCCCAAGAGUUCAUAUCGACGGCGGUGUUUGGCACCUCGAUGUCGGCUCAUCACAUCCUGGGGCUGAAGUAGGUCCCAAGGGUAUGGCUGUUCGCCAUUUAAAGUGGUACGCGAGCUGGGUUUAGAACGUCGUGAGACAGUUCGGUCCCUAUCUGCCGUGGGCGCUGGAGAACUGAGGGGGGCUGCUCCUAGUACGAGAGGACCGGAGUGGACGCAUCACUGGUGUUCGGGUUGUCAUGCCAAUGGCACUGCCCGGUAGCUAAAUGCGGAAGAGAUAAGUGCUGAAAGCAUCUAAGCACGAAACUUGCCCCGAGAUGAGUUCUCCCUGAGACUUUAGGUCUCCUGAAGGAACGUUGAAGACGACGACGUUGAUAGGCCGGGUGUGUAAGCGCAGCGAUGCGUUGAGCUAACCGGUACUAAUGAACCGUGAGGCUUAACCUUACAACGCCGAAG
rnacentral:rRNA from 1 species